AAUGUCCUUAUAUUGUCUCCAGCA
rnacentral:piRNA from 2 species